rnacentral:rRNA from 1 species
GAUGAACGCUGGCGGCGUGCCUAACACAUGCAAGUCGAGCGAUCUUCUUCGGAAGAGAGCGGCGGACGGGUGAGUAACGCGUGGGUAACCUGCCCUGUACACACGGAUAACAUACCGAAAGGUAUGCUAAUACGAGAUAAUAUGCUUUUGUCGCAUGGUAGAAGUAUCAAAGCUUUUGCGGUACAGGAUGGACCCGCGUCUGAUUAGCUAGUUGGUAAGGUAACGGCUUACCAAGGCGACGAUCAGUAGCCGACCUGAGAGGGUGAUCGGCCACAUUGGAACUGAGACACGGUCCAAACUCCUACGGGAGGCAGCAGUGGGGAAUAUUGCACAAUGGGCGAAAGCCUGAUGCAGCAACGCCGCGUGAGCGAUGAAGGCCUUCGGGUCGUAAAGCUCUGUCCUCAAGGAAGAUAAUGACGGUACUUGAGGAGGAAGCCCCGGCUAACUACGUG